rnacentral:rRNA from 1 species
AUUGAACGCUGGCGGCAGGCCUAACACAUGCAAGUCGAGCGGAUGAAGAGAGCUUGCUCUCUGAUUCAGCGGCGGACGGGUGAGUAAUGCCUAGGAAUCUGCCUGGUAGUGGGGGACAACGUCUCGAAAGGGACGCUAAUACCGCAUACGUCCUACGGGAGAAAGCAGGGGACCUUCGGGCCUUGCGCUAUCAGAUGAGCCUAGGUCGGAUUAGCUAGUUGGUGAGGUAAUGGCUCACCAAGGCGACGAUCCGUAACUGGUCUGAGAGGAUGAUCAGUCACACUGGAACUGAGACACGGUCCAGACUCCUACGGGAGGCAGCAGUGGGGAAUAUUGGACAAUGGGCGAAAGCCUGAUCCAGCCAUGCCGCGUGUGUGAAGAAGGUCUUCGGAUUGUAAAGCACUUUAAGUUGGGAGGAAGGGYUGUAGAUUAAUACUCUGCAAUUUUGACGUUACCGACAG